UGUUUACAUGUUCUCACCUCCCCCACUAUUUUUCAGGUAUUGCAGGCGUUGAGUUUUGGGACGAGACGUGAGGUACGUUCGUAGCGGUCGAUAGAGCUUCCGACCCAGAUUAUCGGUUUAGUUUUAUCCCUACUAUUCUGUGUUAUAGCUUAGUCAGUUUAUAUGGUUCAGUAUUUUUAUUACAUUGGAAUAUGUGGACUUUCAUGAAUGUAAUAAAAGGAUUUCGGGAUUUGGUAAAAUAAAAGGUUUUCUACCCCUCGUGGUAGCUUGUAUAAAAGAUAAAAGUUUUCGCAUAUGGAACAGUUUUCAAAAGAUUUUUCGUGGACUUUUGUUUAAACAUCGAAUGUAAAACUAUGGUGUGAAUGGUGAAUGUAUGAAUGUAUAGCUAUCUGUAUAUUCAUUUAGUUGUGGUUGUAUACUGUUUGUACUCUUGUACUUGUGCGACGCCGUGCAAAUAUAGGGGAGACUCUGUCCGUGUGAACAGUGGAUUUCCUGUAUUUGUGGCGGAUCUGGCAUACUCUAGGGUCAGGUUUUCAAAAAAAAAAAAAAAAAAAAAUUAAACGCUUUUCCCCUGUGUUUCAAACAAAAAAGGGACCCCGGGGCGUGACAAUUUUCGACUUUCCAAAAUGUUCUUGGCAGCGGAUAUGGAUUUUCCUACCCUCUAGUUUUGGUUACAACAGUAACAUGUUCUCUUUUUCAUUAACAAAAUGGAUUUCCUAAUGUCCUGAUAGCAAAUAAGAUGCUAGAGUUUGAGAUACUAUAGACUUCUAAGAAGUUUCCUUCUGCCAGAUUUUGUAGGAAACUUGAUUUGUUUGUUCUAUCAUUUUUUGUGAAUUGGAUGACUUAGUCUAUUAUGCAAACAACAAACUGUUCUGUGUUACUAUGAUCGCCGCCUUAAUACUUUGUUGACAUGUUGAUAGGGUAGGCAAUAAAGAAGUCCCACCUUCCAAAUUAGAAUAUAUAGUAAUAAAACAUAAAUUUUAAGUAUUUAUAAAUUAUUUAAAAAAAAUGUUUGUAAAUAUCAAAAGAAACUUGUCAAAUAGCUUUGCAAAAUCAUUUAAGAGAAAUGUUUUAUAUCCAAAACUCAACAAUACAAACUCCUAUGAAAAUAAAAAUUAGUUCAUACUGGUUAAGAAAAUAAAAAGUAGUUCAUAGCAGAAUAUAUAUAUCAAACUACUAACAGGACUACCUAUAUAUUUUAAAGUUUUAAUUAAAAAAGCAACCAAAAAUAUGACAAACAUAUGGUUUGAAACAAUUUAGAAGGACGACAAAUUUUAUUUUAUUUUUUUGAAAUACUGGAUUUAUUAUCAGCAGCCUAGACAAAGGCCAACAAAGGACAAAGUCAAAAAUAAAAAGUACAGAAAUGCUGUGGAUGAACAAAACAAUUGAUUGUAUAUACAUGCAAAAGAAACUUGAAAGUCUAAUUAACUCCUUAAUCGAACUAUACCCAAAAACUGAAUAGUAAUAUUAUAUAAAUUAUUUAUCAAACUUUUAUAUAUAUGAUCAAAUCUAGAUGACAUAUUAACACAUUUUUUAAUAUUCUGUACUUAUGAUCAAAAUUUUUGUGUGUAACUUUCAUAAUAAUUCAAUUUAGAUUCUUAAAUUAUGAAUUAAUUCAUCAGAAAGUGUAAGGACUGAGAUUUUUUACAGUGCUACUAAACUCUCUGUUGACGAUGUUUAUGUGUGUAAUUUAAUUACAUAAGCACUCGUCAAGUUUCAGGAGAAACUGAGCUAAAACGGAGAAGUUACGCGAUUAUUAGUUUUCACUUAAGUGAAUAGUAACUCCGGUUUUUCGGUGGAGUCACGGAGUAGAGCUGGCUAUCGGCGCGUAUCGGACUCCGUUCAUAGCGGUCCAAUAGCUCGUUUCGAUCGGAUCAGCUAUUCUGGAACCAAUGGCACUGACGGAUUUCAGAUCCGAUGCACGAUUUUCGAGAAAAAGGAGUUUUAUCAAAAGAGGGUUUUCGUUCUUUGCUAUUCUUGCAUUAUGACACCCCCUCGUGAUCUGUGUAUGUGACCUAGAGUAAGGUGAGGGAUGUUACAUGUACCUACUAGUGGUAGGAGAUUCAAAUUUGAAUUUGAAUUAAAGGAUUUAGCGGGAUUACACAUUGAUAUAUGUGUGUGGUUUUGAAAUUGGAGAGCGGACAGAUUUCGUCNUCACUCCACUCGUGACACUAGUCGUGACUGGGUGCUAGUGGCACGAGUGGAGGCCUCCGUAGUCCUGUCGGAGUCUAGCGGCCUAUUCGCACGCGUUUGGGUUUUUGUUGUCGGUUUGUCCGAGCUGUCCCAGCUGUGGUGGCUUUGUAGCCUUGCCCCGGAAGGGCUGUUUUUGGUUCCACUCGUGCUACUAGUCUUUACUCAGUGCUAGUAGCACGAGGGAAGGCAUAACUAGUCCCUCCGAGCUCUUCGAGUCUUGUGUUUGGGUAGGAUUUGAUUCGGGAUAAAGCCCGAACCGGCCUCGUUCCAACGAGGCCGGCCGAAGGCCGUCGUGCCGCCGUACGCGCCGCCGGUCCCUGCCCACGCCCCCUCCACUCCUCAUGGCACGAGUGGAGCCAACCACCGAGCUUCGCCGCCGCCGCCGCCGCCUCGUUUGGCUUGGGCAUGGCCGAACUCGAACCCGAGGUUCCCGUUACCGCCGGUGCCGCCGGCUGCCCUCCGAGUCCCCGCUGCCUCCUGCUGCUUUCUCCCAGCCCCGCGCUUAGCAGGCCGCCGCUUUCCGCCGCCCCUGCUGCCCGUAACUACGGGAUCGGAGCCGGUAGGCUCUUCUAUGGUCCAGCCCAGGCCGGUCGACUCCUGAGGCCGCCGUCCCCGCGGCCACCUCCGACUCACGCCGGCCGGUCCCACCAGGCCGCGAGUGCGGCAGGCCGCCGCCUUCCGUCACGGCCGCCGCGACUCUGUUGAGCUCGAGGGUGCCGAGCUCGAGUCGGAGUCCUUCGUCGCCGCCGGUACCGCUGCCAGCCCCUUCGAGGCCCACUGACGCCGUGGAGCGGCCUCUACCUCCUUCCCGCUUAGCCGGCUGCCCCUUGCCGCCGCCGCGCGCCUCCGUCUCGAUCGGGGCCGAGCCGGUCGUGAACCAGUUCCGCCGGCGUCUCUCUCUCUCGCCGCCGGCCGCCGCUGCCCUCGCCGCCGCUACCGCGCGCCCCCGUGCGGCCUCCGGUCGACUCCCGCCGCCCUGGCUCCCACCCGCCGCCGCUGCGCGCCUCCGUUUCUAGUGGGUCCGAGCCGGACCCACUGAUAUCCAACCGGCGUCCCUCGUUCCACCGAGGCCGCCGCAGCCGCCGCGCGCGGCUGCCGCCCCCGGCCGCUCCCAGCCGCGGCCUCCAUCGAGAGACGGUGUCCCACUUCCUAGGAGCCCCGAAACGCGCAAAGGGACACAUGAGUCCGGCUCUCCCACCUCUCCUCCUACUGGUACUCAAAAGGCCGCCGGCCUCAACGAGCGGCCUCCAGACCCGUGCUCGCGUCCAUCUCGUCCCUGGAUGACCCCGAUAGAUCCCGUGCCAACCCCUUGAUCCAGCCGAUCUAGAUCCCAAGGAACGUUUUCUUGGGAUCUACGUGUAACAUACGUUACACGUUUAACGUGUUUUCAGGUGGACUUGAUGUUUAAAGUUGGGAUCAGGGAGUGUUACCCAUUGAGAGCGCGAAAACGUGGAGGUGUUAGCUAGAGCGCGCUAAGCCAUGUAUUUUAUAAUGUUGAAAACGCUUAAAGGGCUAAAAGGUGAGAGCUGGGGAAUCGCUUGAAGUACGUUAUAGGCUGUUAGGCAAGUAGUCUAAAGGCUUGGCUAACGUGGUAGCGCAAGUCGUGCUGCUCCCGUAGUUUUGAUGGUAGUUGGAUCAACAGUGUCCGGUUAGCCCUGUUUGGCGCAAUCUUCCCCGACUGCGCGCUGUUCUCUGAACCUUCGGGUUGCUCCCGCGCUUCCCACAGUGACCUGUUGCGCUCCAGACCGUGAGCACGGCCUCCGGUACGUCGAGACCUAUCAGUAUGUGUCUCAGCAGAACUUAGAAGUCCUCGGUUUGCGUGUACGGGCUAUGUUAUCACCCAAUUUACAUGAAAUAUUGGGAUUUUAUGUAAAUUCAGGGGCUUUUGUGCAAUUGUGCACCUUGGGGCUACUGUGGACAGUGUGUGUGAGUGUGUUUGACCUCUGGACUGAUUGUCCAUGAUCCGUUAGCUUUUGCAGAAAUCGAAGAGUCGAUUUCGAUGCGUUUUUCGGCGAAAUUCGCCGAAAGAACGCGGUUUCGAUUCGAAUUUCUUCCGACGUCGUUUGGUUGCUCUGUGAGUGGUCGCUAAGCCUUGUUGGCUAGUCACCAUCAUCACUUUGUGGGUUCGGUGAUGACGGGUGAGCGACGGUGGGUUCCGGUGUCGAAUUUGACACUUCCGGGAACCCGUAUUCGUACAAUUAUCCGGCGAUAAUUGUGUCGCGGUGUUUAUCUUAUGUUUGCUGCCAAAACAUCCAAAUUGGAGUGUUUUAUGGCAGCAGGUGACUUGUAGCAUGGGUCGGUGCGUUUCGGGACAUUUCAGUGGUCCCGACGGAGUCCCGGUGCGAUUUUCGGGACUUCCGGCGAGUUACGGUAGUCAGUUUUGGGAAACUGAUCUUCGUGGGUUUGUUAGAGGGAUUAUGAUGUAGUGUUUCUUAGUUGUGGGUUAGACACUAACCCAGUGGAUCCUCCUUAGGUCCUGUUGACGUUCUUUUGCAGUCAGGUGACAGGCGCGACAGUUGUACAGGUGGGUACUUCGAUCCGACGUCGGUACAGUGGUGCACGUUCGGUGAUGGUUUCUUACCCUUGCUCCUUUGUUAUUAUCCAUGCAUACGUUAUAUAUUGAGCUUUGCACCUCUGUUGUUUACAUUGCACCCACGUUGUUUGAUUAUACUCUACUCGUUGUUUGCAUGCUUAGUAUCCUGAGUAGGAGUAGAGUAGUUCUAUCCGCAUCCGUAUCGGUUGACCUAGUUGGUCUGUUGAGCAUCCGUAUCUGUUGACCUAGUUGGUCUGUUCUGCAUUCCUCUACUCAGUUAGUUCCAUAUUGAUAUCAUGCUUAGGAGUAGAGUUGAGUUAUCGGUUCACUAUAUCUGUGAUUUGGUUGGGCGGUUCCCUUAUUUUGAUAUCUAUGACCUAUUCGGUCGAGUUGCUACAGUUCUAUCUUGACAUACGUAGCCGAUUAGUUGCUGAUGGCCUAUACGGUCGGUGUGCCCUGAGGGGCUGGAUUGUCGGCUAGUUGCCGAUGGAUGAUCUUUGAGCAUACUACAUUGAUCGCCACUGCAGGUACGCAUUUCACGAACACCAGCGGUCUGAUCCACCGCAAGAGGGUGUUCUUUUCCGGAAAAGUGGUUGGAUUGCCAACCCGUGAGCCCAGGGGCUUUAUUGCGAGGGUAUAUGCUUCUGACCCAGGGGCUUCAUUGCGAGGGUCAGGUACUGUGCUUCUGACCCAGGGGCUUCAUUGCGAGGGUCAGGUACAGGUUGAGCAGUGUGGCAUGGGCCUGAGGUCUUCGGACCAAUCGGGCAGCGAGAUUGGGUACUUUUGAACUUAUCGUCAGUUGACGCAUGCAUACAGUAGCUGUAGUGUUUAUUUUCAGUACAUCCUUAUCUGUUUAUUGUAGCUACUGUUUUAUUUACCGCAUCUAUACUUGUCAGCUCCUUACUUAUCAACAUCUUUACUUACCAGCACUUAUGUCUAUCUAGAUCUCCGUGUUGUUGUAUAGCUCUCUUCCUGAUCCGGUGAGUACUCCUUGCCUUCUUCGGCUUGCGGUACCCACUGGGAGGGGAGACAUGUUUACAUGUUCUCACCUUCCCCACCAUUUUUCAGGUAUCGCGGGCGAUGAGUAGUGGGACGAGACGUGAGGUACGUGUGUAGCGGUCGAUAGAGCUUCCGACCCAGGUUAUUUCGAUUUAGUUAUUAUCCUUGGUAUUUCUGUUGAUAUAUAGUUUAGUUAGUUUAUGUGGUUCAGUAUUUAUUUACAUUUGAAAAUGUGGAUUUCUGGAUUUUGUAAAAUAAAAGGUUUUCUACCCCUCGUGGUAGCGUUUUUAAAAGAAUAAAAGUUUCUGUGUAGGAAACAGUUUUCAAAAGAUUUUUGUGGAUUUCUGUUUAAACCUUGAAUGUAAAACUGUGAUGUGAAUGGUGAAUGUAUGAAUGUAUAGUUAUCUUUAUAUUCAUCUGGUUGUGGUUGUAUCCUGGUUGUACUGUGUAUUUGAUCGACGCCGUGCAAAUACAGGGGAGACUCUGUCCGUGUGAACAGUGGAUUCCCUGUAUUUGUGGCGGAUCUGGCAUACUCUGGGGUCAGGUUUUCAAAACAAAAAAAAAAAUUCAGACG
rnacentral:lncRNA from 1 species